rnacentral:tRNA from 1 species
GGGAAUGUGGCUUAGUGGUAGAGCGCUUGCCUAGUAUGCAUGAGUCUCUAGGUUUGACUCCUCAGUACUA